UAAUGCACUGCCAUUCAUAAUUGCCAAUUGAA
rnacentral:piRNA from 1 species